GACUCCUCCAGGAAGACUGGCGGCAGAUGCAGAGCUGACAGACUGACGUUAUAUCUGUGGUGAGGAGAGAGAGAGCUUUAAAAAUACAGAUUGCCCUGGGAAGAAAUAUUUGCAUAAAUAUUUUACUUCUAGCUGAUAUCACAUCUCCCCAAAUCCAGGCCUGCCUGGGAAGUGAAACGAGCUUUUUUGUAUGCUAUCCACAGCCAAGCCAGUUUUGCUCUCACAGUUCUCACACAGGGAGAGUGUGUUUGUACAGGGAAAUAAUGUCACCAGAAAAGUGUGAUAGCACUUCAAGGAUCAGCUCUAGGAGGAUACGAACCUCAUAGAGCUUGGCAGAACCCGGGCAGAUAUUUCUGGUGGGAUGCAACAUGAUGGUGACUCUUCUCCUGCCCAGCCCAACUGUGACAGGGAGCUGCUGCAACUAAUAAGUUGAUCCCACCUGGUGCAGAGAGCGCAGUGCCUCGCAGGGACAUCACCAUCCUGCUUAGUCCUGCAGUGAGCAGAGCUGGCAGCUGGAACUGGAGUGCGAUUUGGAGUGUGUUUGGGUUCCCUUGCCACUGUCAAGAAUUACCCUGAAGAGUACUUAAAUAUCUCUCUUAAUGAUUGCAUUAAGUUUCAUGCCACCGAUAUUCCUGGCAGUUCCUCUGCCAGCUAAAGUGCUAAAUAUCCUGAUUUUAUCGUGCAUACCUA
rnacentral:lncRNA from 1 species